GGGAUACCUGAAAUUUCCCAUGGCGAACUGCUCAGUAACACAUGAUCAACUUACCCUAUUGAGAAAGAUAACCUCGGGAAACUGAGGAUAAUAUUUCAUAGUUGAAUUGGCUUGGAAAAGUUUUUCUNCAAAAGGGAUAGGGAAAAUGGUCUCUAUCCGCUAUAGGAUAGGAUCGUGUUCGAUUAUGGUAGUUGGUGAGGUAACGGCUCACCAAGCCGAUAAUCGAUAGGGGCCGUGAGAGCGGGAGCCCCGAGAUGGGUACUGAGACAACGACCCAGGCCUUACGAGGCGCAGCAGGUGCGAAACCUCCACAAUACACGAAAGUGUGAUGGGGUUACCCAAAGUGUUCAUUAUUGAACUGUGGUAGGAGAGUAAUGUCCCCUACUAGAAAGGAGAGGGCAAGGCUGGUGCCAGCCGCCGCGGUAAAACCAGCUCUUCAAGUGGUCGGGAUAAUUAUUGGGCUUAAAGUGUCCGUAGCCGGUUUGGUAAGUUCCUGGUAAAAUCGGAUAGCUUAACUAUCUGUAUGCUAGGAAUACUGCUAUACUAUAGGGCGGGAGAGGUCUGAGGUACUACAGGGUAGGGGUUGA
rnacentral:rRNA from 1 species